GGAGGGGUGUCCGAGCGGUUUAAGGAGGCGGUCUUGAAAACCGUUGGGCUCUUGCGGGUCCCGUGGGUUCGAAUCCCACCCCCUCCGCCA
rnacentral:tRNA from 2 species